GUUCCUUUUUUAAUUUACACCAUCCUUGGAAUCUCAGCAUAUAUUAUACAACAAAUAUGAAUAUCAUUUGUAUACGCUUUACACGUGCAUGCAGGUUCUAGCAGUGGUCGCCGGCGUACCGGUUGGAGGGACGCUGCUAACUCUGGCCGGUUUAACCUUAGCCGUUUCGGUUAUAGGACUAAUACUGGCAUUCCCGCUGUUCCUCAUCUUCAGUCCGGUUAUCGUACCAGCGGCCUUUGUGAUCGGUUUAGCUAUGACAGGAUUCAUGGCGUCAGGGGCAAUAGGGCUCACGGGACUAUCGUCGAUGUCGUGGGUACUGAACCACAUCCGAAGAGUAAGGGAACGUAUGCCGGAUGAGCUGGAUGAAGCAAAGCAGCGUUUGGCUGACAUGGCCGAGUACGUGGGGCAGAGGACAAAAGAUGCAGGACAGACCAUAGAAGACAAAGCUCACGAUGUACGAGAGAGCAAGACUUAUGAUGUUCGAGAUAGAGACACAAAGGGUCAUACUGCCUCAGGAGGAGACAGGGACACCAAGACAACUCGCGAGGUACGAGUGGCGACAACAUGAAGCGUGUGUUUUGUGAUGAAUAAAAAGAGACUCGCCUGUUGUGGUUCUGGUUUCUUGGUAGAUAGGUGUUGUGUGUUUAAGUUUAAAAUGGUGUUCUGCUCUGUAAGCGUUCUUCGAGUGUUGAGUGUGUUUUACUUCUAAUAAUAAUGUGGACGUUUUGCUUCUAAGGGUUUUAUGUGCGUUCAUCAAUAGUUAGAUCUAAUUUGAAUAGGAAAAUGCAUCCUGUUUAGCCAUGUAAGUGAAAAAACAGAUAAUGAAAUAUACAUAUAUUAGCUGGUAUAGAGAAAUGGGACCAUACUAAUUAUGAAAUAAAGACAGCCAAGAAACGGUGGACUGACUCUAAAUUGAUUGGUACCACAAGACUUAGGUUCAUGCGUACGUCCACAUGUUUAAACCCGCCCUUUUAUCACAUCCAUACGUUUCCCGCCUCCUUCUGACACUUCGAAAUACAUAGUUUUCGACAAAACAAUUAUUAUUAUUAGUUGUUAUCAUCAUACGUCAAAGUUUGGCUAGAGAGAUUUAUUCUAUCUUAUUAGCACAAAUUAAACACGAAAACACGUCGGCAUAAUAACUUGUCUAAUAUAAAUAAACAAUUAAUUAUCAUUAGAGCAUGAUUAUUGGAAGGUUGUUAGGGUGGAGUUCUUAGCGGAAUAUAAGAACUCAUCUCUUAACUUUUAGCUAAAAAAAGUUAAGAACCGUAUCUAAAAACUCUUAUUUAAGAAUCGGUUCUUAACUUUUUUUUUUGUUAAAAAUUAAGGCGUAUUUGUAGCCGAGAGCGAGAGCGAGAGAGCUAUUCCACUUCUCAACAAUAACCGCCACGUGCGCUUUGUUACUUCUUUUUCCUUCCUUUUAUUAAUACUUACUACAACUACUUUAAUUAAUAUCAUCGUUUAUUACUAUUUAUUAUGCUUAUCCUUGUUCGUAUUUUAAGAAUACAAACAAAUAAUCCAAACAUCUGACCAAUCAAAAGCCUACAAAUAAGAGAAAGCAUAUAUAUAGUAUUAACAAAAGUAAAUGGACCUGCUGUUUAGACCACUUGUUUCCGGCCCAGGCCCAUCGUGUUAUAGCAAAUAUAUUGGCGCGCAUGGGUCUUUCUGUCUAUUAACGCUCUGCUUCUUCUUCUUCUUCUCUCCCUCUCAAAUUCAUUUGCUCAGUUAAUCAAGCAAGCAAUUCCCUAGAAACGAGAAAAUGGAUGGAAAAUUUAUAGUAAUCUAGGAUAAUAUCAGUUUCCUGGGAAUUAUAUUACAGGCUUUCUUAUCAAAAGUUUAUCUUCUUUCGUGUAUGCACGCCACUUGUUCGACGAAAUGACCAAGAGGAGCUUAUAUCAGUGGAAUACUCUUCUUAAAAGCUUAUCCAGAGAUAAACAAUGGCAACAAGUAUUGUCUCAGUUUAUCCAAAUGUUUCGCUGUGAAGAAAAGCCUGAUAACUUCACCAUUCCAGUUGCUCUCAAGGCCUGCGUUGAGUUGCGGCAAAUUAAGUGUGGAGAAAUCAUUCAUGCGUUCAUCAACAAGGAUGCUUCACUUGCGUCUGACCUUUAUGUUGGCUCUGCUCUGUUAGAUAUGUAUGCCAAAUGUGGGAGGAUGACCCAAGCUUUGAGGGUCUUUGAUGAGUUGGAGGAGAAGCCUGAUAUAGUCACGUGGUCUUCUAUGGUUUCUGGGUUUGAAAGGAAUGGUUUUCCCUUUGAGGCUGUUGAGUUUUUCAGGAGAAUGGCCACGUCUUCCCAUGUUAGUCCUGAUCGGGUUACUUUAAUCACCCUAGUUUCUGCAUGUACAAAACUAUCUGAUUCAAAACUUGGGAGGUGUGUGCAUGGUUUUGUGAUGCGGAGAGGAUUUGAAAAGGAUUUGUCUUUAGUGAAUUCACUAUUGAAUUGUUAUGCCAAGUCGGGAGCUUUCAAAGAAGCGGUUCAUUUGUUCAAGGUGAUGGCAGAGAAAGAUGUUAUAUCUUGGAGCACAGUCAUUGCUUGCUACGUUCAAAAUGGAGCUGCUGCUGAAGCAUUGCGUGUCUUCAAUGAAAUGAUGGGUAGCGGAACAGAACCUAGUGCAGCUACUAUGCUCAGUGUGUUUCAAGCUUGUGCAGCUUCUCAUGAUCUAAAGCAAGGUAGGAAGAGCCAUGAAUUAGCCAUUAGGAAAGGCAUUGAGACAGAAGUGAAAGUCUCCACUGCUCUAGUUGAUAUGUAUAUGAAGUGUUUCUCCCUCGAGGAAGCUUAUGCUGUUUUCUCCAGGAUUCCGAAGAAAGAUGUGGUCUCUUGGGUUGCGUUGAUAAGCGGCUUUACAUUAAAUGGAAUGGCUCACAGAUCAGUUGAGGAAUUUUCCAAGAUGCUGCUUGAAAAUAAUACGAGGCCUGAUUCUAUUCUUAUGGUGAAGGUACUUAAGGCAUGUUCGGAUUUGGGUUUUCUCGAACAAGCUGAAUGCUUUCAUAGUUAUGUGAUCAAAUUCGGAUUUGACAGUAACCCGUUCAUCGGAGCCUCUCUUGUUGAGCUUUAUUCGAGAUGUGGGAGUCUAGGCAGUGCUUGUAAAGUGUUCGAUGAGAUAACUUUAAAGGACGUCGUGGUUUGGACCUCUUUGAUCACUGGUUAUGGAAUCCAUGGGAAGGGCACUAAAGCGCUGGAGACGUUUACUCAAAUGGUCGAGAGCUCAGAAGUGGAGCCUAAUGAAGUGACAUUUCUCUCAGUUUUGUCUGCUUGUAGUCACUCAGGUUUGAUACACGAGGGACUGAGAAUAUUUGAGUUGAUGGUGAGUCAGUACGGACUUGUUCCUAACUUAGAGCAUUAUGCUGUAUUGGUUGAUCUUCUCGGCCGUGUAGGAGAACUAGAUGCUGCCAUUGAAAUCACAAAUGGGAUGCCUUUUUCACCAACACCACAAGUCUUGGGUACUCUUUUAGGCGCGUGUAGGAUUCAUCAGAAUGAUGAGAUGGCAGAAACUGUUGCAAAGAAGCUCUUUGAAUUGGAACCCAAUCAUGCUGGUUAUUACAUGCUAAUGUCGAAUAUGUAUGGGGUUAAGGGAGAAUGGGAGAAUGUGGAAAAGUUGAGAAAUGCAGUGAGGAACAGGGGAAUUAAAAAAGGAUUGGCAGAUAGUUUGAUUGAGAUAAAAAGAAAGGUCCAUAGCUUUGUGGCUGAUGAUAACAUGCAUCCUGAGAAUGAGCCGGUUUAUGGACUGCUUAAAGAGCUGGAUUUGCAUAUGAAACAAGACUUUGAAGAUUCUGUGUAUUUCCAAACUGAGGGAGGCAGCUAGUGAUUCAGUGAUCAGAAGCUUGAAAUCAAGGAUUUGUAGCAAAGUACUCAAAUUCUCAUAUAUUAGGUGAUCAAUGUGGAGGUUCAAGCACAAGACAGAUCUCGUUCUGCAUAUUAUUUUCAGUAUCACUUGGGGUUUUUAAUUAUGAACCGAUUAGCAGAGGAAUCCCAGUUGAAUUCUUAAUUUCCCGUCUCAGCCCCUUCAUUGGUAACAUCGGAUUCGCAAUCUUCCUCUCUUCCAAAGUUAGUUUUUUUUUUUUAAAAGGAAAAGAAACUUGUUACUCAUGCAAGGUUCUCAGGUGCCACGUCUCUCCUUUACGUGUCACGUUCUUGCAGCAUGUUGCCCAUCUAUAAUACUAUUUACAACAAACCCGAUCCCAUUACUCAAAGCUUAAUAGGAAGAAGCAACUGAUUCAGCAACAUCUUUGUGGUUUUAGUUUCUUGCUAAAGCUAUCUAACAAAGCUUUACCUUGGAGGAUUAAUGGCUGACGUUCGCACACAUGCACACCAGGUUCAAGUGCACCCUCUACGCCAGCACGAAGGAGGCAUCAAAGUGGUUUAUCCCCAGAGCGGGCCUUCUUCCACUCAGGUUCCUUUUUUAAUUUACACCAUCCUUGGAAUCUCAGCAUAUAUUAUACAACAAAUAUGAAUAUCAUUUGUAUACGCUUUACACGUGCAUGCAGGUUCUAGCAGUGGUCGCCGGCGUACCGGUUGGAGGGACGCUGCUAACUCUGGCCGGUUUAACCUUAGCCGUUUCGGUUAUAGGACUAAUACUGGCAUUCCCGCUGUUCCUCAUCUUCAGUCCGGUUAUCGUACCAGCGGCCUUUGUGAUCGGUUUAGCUAUGACAGGAUUCAUGGCGUCAGGGGCAAUAGGGCUCACGGGACUAUCGUCGAUGUCGUGGGUACUGAACCACAUCCGAAGAGUAAGGGAACGUAUACCGGAUGAGCUGGAUGAAGCAAAGCAGCGUUUGGCUGACAUGGCCGAGUACGUGGGGCAGAGGACAAAAGAUGCAGGACAGACCAUAGAAGACAAAGCUCACGAUGUACGAGAGAGCAAGACUUAUGAUGUUCGAGAUAGAGACACAAAGGGUCAUACUGCCUCAGGAGGAGACAGGGACACCAAGACAACUCGCGAGGUACGAGUGGCGACAACAUGAAGCGUGUGUUUUGUGAUGAAUAAAAAGAGACUCGCCUGUUGUGGUUCUGGUUUCUUGGUAGAUAGGUGUUGUGUGUUUAAGUUUAAAAUGGUGUUCUGCUCUGUAAGCGUUCUUCGAGUGUUGAGUGUGUUUUACUUCUAAUAAUAAUGUGGACGUUUUGCUUCUAAGGGUUUUAUGUGCGUUCAUCAAUAGUUAGAUCUAAUUUGAAUAGGAAAAUGCAUCCUGUUUAGCCAUGUAAGUGAAAAAACAGAUAAUGAAAUAUACAUAUAUUAGCUGGUAUAGAGAAAUGGGACCAUACUAAUUAUGAAAUAAAGACAGCCAAGAAACGGUGGACUGACUCUAAAUUGAUUGGUACCACAAGACUUAGGUUCAUGCGUACGUCCACAUGUUUAAACCCGCCCUUUUAUCACAUCCAUACGUUUCCCGCCUCCUUCUGACACUUCGAAAUACAUAGUUUUCGACAAAACAAUUAUUAUUAUUAGUUGUUAUCAUCAUACGUCAAAGUUUGGCUAGAGAGAUUUAUUCUAUCUUAUUAGCACAAAUUAAACACGAAAACACGUCGGCAUAAUAACUUGUCUAAUAUAAAUAAACAAUUAAUUAUCAUUAGAGCAUGAUUAUUGGAAGGUUGUUAGGGUGGAGUUCUUAGCGGAAUAUAAGAACUCAUCUCUUAACUUUUAGCUAAAAAAAGUUAAGAACCGUAUCUAAAAACUCUUAUUUAAGAAUCGGUUCUUAACUUUUUUUUUUGUUAAAAAUUAAGAGUCUGUUAUUAUAUUCAGCUAAGAACCUCACCUUAAGAAUCCUCGAAUAACCAUGCUCUUAGAAUUCAAACAACCAAAAAAAACAAAAGUUGAGACAUGAUAAUGAGAGGAUUGAGGAGACAGAGUAGCAUUCGAUUGAUUUAACACUCUUUAGUCUUUACCAAUUAGAGGAGGAAGAAGAGAGAGAGAGAGAGAAAAGCUAGCAAGUGUCGUUUACUCGUGCUGCUGAGAUUUUAACAAAUGACAAAGAGGAUUUAGGUAAGAUCUUUAACCAUCUACCAUAGUCCAUAGAUCUGUCUAUCAAAAACAAGAAUCCACAGACCACAGAGCAAGAAGAAAGGGGGGUACCAAGUUAUGCUUCUAAUAACUCCAUAUCCGAGACUCGUGUCUCCGCUAUUAGCUACCAAGUCUACUCCUGAAUCAUCAUUCACCAGAAGAGCCAGAGCUUCCUCUUCUUCUUCUUCUACUUCUUCUUCCUCUUAUCCUUGGCCUUUCCUGAGGCCUAAACGUAGACUCAAUGGCUUCAAGCUCAAGUCAGCUACAGUUCCGGGAGAUGUGGAAUCUGGAAGUUUGGUCAAAGGGCUGAAGCUAGGAGGCAUGUUCGGAGUUUGGUAUCUUCUCAAUAUCUACUACAACAUCUUCAAUAAACAGGUUCUCCUAUCUUUGAUAGCAUAUAUAGUCUUUUCAACUUGAGAGUCACAAUUGGGUUUUAAUUAGACUCCUAAAUUUUCAUUGUUCAUCCCAGGUACUUAGGGUUUAUCCAUAUCCAGCAACUGUAACAGCAUUUCAAUUAGGCUGUGGAACGUUGAUGAUAUCAAUAAUGUGGCUCCUCAAACUCCAUCCUCGUCCAAAAGUUACUCCAUCUCAGGUAAAUGAUUCUUCUUGACAAAGUCCUCUAAAAAACAGAGAUAUUCAUUUGUAAAAUCGUCUGAAAUAUUCGUUUAACAAUCUCUAGUUUCCGGCGAUAUUACAACUAGCAGCAGCUCACACAUUAGGAAACUUGUUGACGAAUGUGAGCUUGGGAAGAGUAAACGUCUCUUUCACCCACACAAUCAAAGCAUUGGAGCCUUUCUUCACCGUCUUGUUCUCUGUUCUCUUGCUCGACGAGGUACGCAAAAGCAUAUAUAGACACUCUAGUGAUCAGAGAUUUUAAAAAGCGUUUUUUUAUUUAUUUCUUACUGAUGUAACCUGUUGAGUGUCAGUGGCCGAGUUUAUGGAUUGUCUGUUCCUUGUUACCAAUAGUCGCUGGAGUUUCUUUAGCAUCUUUCACAGAAGCUUCUUUUAAUUGGUAUGCAACAACAACAACUAAUCAAAGCAUUCUUCUUGAAAAAUUAACUUGGUUUGAGUUGUGUGUUUUCCAAUGAACCAGGAUUGGUUUCUGCAGCGCAAUGGCGUCUAAUGUGACGAACCAAUCACGCAAUGUUCUCAGUAAAAAAUUCAUGGUUGAAAAGGUAACUUAGUAGUUUUAUCCUCUCUCAAGAAACCAACCUUUGUUUCUCUUAAUUGAAACCAGCAAUUCUAUUAAAGUUUGUUGUAUUGAAACAGGAAGCUUUGGACAACAUCAACCUUUUCUCUAUAAUAACCAUUAUCUCCCUUGUCUUAUUGGUUCCUGUAGCAAUCCUCAUCGAUGGUUUUAAGUUUACUCCCUCACAGCUACAUCUAGCUGUAAGUGACGAAAACAUAUUACAUCACCAAAAACAGGUCGAGAACUUAUGGCUUUUGCUUGUGGUUUCUUGGCAGACAAGUCAGGGUUUGACUGUAAAAGAGUUUUGCCUCAUGUCUCUACUUGCUGGUGUUUGCUUGCAUAGCUACCAACAGGUUCGUAAAGUUUCAGAAUUUAAAGAUGGGUUUAGGUUUCGUUAACAAUGCAGUUCCAAUUAGCAUCAAAUGUGAUUCAAAAUUUACGAACACGGGUUUAGGUAUCUUAUAUGAUCUUAGAGAUGGUGUCUCCAGUGACACACUCUGUUGGGAACUGCGUGAAGCGUGUGGUGGUUAUUGCAUCAUCCAUUCUUUUCUUCAAAACUCCUGUCUCGCCUCUUAAUUCCAUAGGUAACUUAACAAACAAAUUAACUAAUAGUAUAUAUAUAAAGUUUUCAUUGAUUGAAUCUCCACUUGUUUGAUGAGCAAGAGUCUGUUUCUCCAAUAUCUUUAACGCAACAGGUACGGCCACUGCACUAGCUGGAGUUUACUUGUACACCAGAGCCAAGAAAGUCAAACCAAACCCAAACUCAAAAUCUUCCUGAAAUUUCCUCUCUCUCUGGUUUUUGAAGUUUUUACUUGUAAAUAAGAAAAUUAUAGAAGCUCUUUAUAAAUUUCUAUUUAUAUUAUGUUUUUUUUUUUUUUGGUUGUGUGUUGUUCCCCCUCACAUGAAUGACAUUUCAUACAGAUUUUCACCAGGAAAAACCGGUUUCAUUUAUAUUUUGUCUACUAUCUAAAAUAAUUAAUUAGCAAGAGUUAGAAAUCUAUACCUGUGGGUUAUAUAUUGAAACAAAACAAAUAUAAAUCGUGAUAAAGUAAGAAAUUAAAGAACGGGCCAUGAAAUAAGUGUAUAGGGCCCAAAAAGGCCCAAAGAAGGAGGCGGCUCGUUUAGAUGGUGGAUGGUUGGUUGGUUUAUAAUAAAACCUAACGAACGGGACGUGGUCAUCCUCCUCCACUUUUAUUCUCUCUCUCUUCUUCUUUUGUGGCGUAGAUUUAUAGAGAGAGAGAGAAAGGGGAAAGAAAGAAUCUCAAACCUCUCCAGUUCAGAGAAUUUGACCGAUUCCACAUUCGUUUCCUCCAUCGCGGCACUUGAAAUCAGGUACGUCUUCUUCUUCCGUAGAUUAAACUUCCCCGCCGUCGUGAAUCCUGAUUUGAUUAGCCUCCUUGCUCUCUGUCGGUUAAUUCGUGAUUAAACUCAGAUCUAGAUCUGUGGUGGAUCUUAUCAAUUUGGAUAGUUAUUUAAUGAUGUAUUAGUAGAAGAAGAUGAUCUUUGUAUCUCCUUUGCAGAAAACUGUUGAUUUGCUUGCUAUGGCUGCUACCGCUCCUUCCGCAGUCCGUUAUGCUCCCGAGGAUCAUUCUCUUCCCAAGCCGUGGAAGGGCCUUGUUGAUGAUCGAACUGGAUACUUGUACUUUUGGAAUCCCGAGACCAACGUUACUCAAUACGAGCGACCUCAACCUCCUUCCAACUUACCUUUAAGCUCCUCCUCCGUUCAGGUUCCUCAAGCCUCUGCCGUACCAAAUGGUAGUAGCUAUGCUCCUGCCAAGGGUGGUGAUGAUAAGUACUCUAGAGCCACCAGUGACGGUGGGCCUAGGCGCUCGAGGUUUAGUGAGGUAUUGACCUUUUAUACCUCUUUCUCUAUCUUUAUCUGGAUCCUUGUUGUUGUAAAUAAAUGAUUUUUGGCUCAUGGAAUUUGAUUUAUUUGUUACAGAUUGAUGACAGGAGUGGAGCGCCGUAUUUGAAUGGGGCUGCCAAUGGACUUGGGAACUCUCUUCCUCCUUCAUCAGCUCCAGUUAAUGAUAUUUCUCCGGAGGCCUAUUGCCGCCGUCAUGAAAUUACCGUCAGUGUAAGUAUCUUCAUGUGUCGUUUUGAUCUCGUAGACCCCACUGUUUGAAUUACUAAAGCAAUAACUGACAGUUUCUCUUUUCCUCUUUCUUCAGGGGGGCCAAGUACCACCACCUCUAAUGUCCUUUGAAACUACUGGUUUUCCUCCUGAGCUUCUGCGCGAGGUAAGAAUUUAAUUUUGUUGCAUAUUGAAAAUCCCUAAUGAACCCUCAGACCUAGUGUACUCAGUUAUCCAUGUCCUCCUACCAAUAAGCCGAAUCUGUGUAGAGUUUUUUCGAAUGUAUUGAGCUGUCUUGGUUUUCCCCAUAUUAGACUUAUUUCAUCACCUUAGGUUUAACAUUUAGAUCAAAAGUUAUAUACUAUGCCAUAUGCACUCGUUUUCUCUCUUUUCUUUUGUUUUCACCAGGUGCGAUGUUUGCUCCUGGGAGGAGCUUAUGUCGUACACUGUACUACUACGUCUCUGAGGUCCUUGCAAAAUAUUUGGAGUGGGACCAAAUUUUUUGGGAAGGGCUUCCGAAAUCAUCCAAGCUCGUGGUCGGGCCUGUUAAUGGUGUUGUGAUGUUUCAUUUCACCACCGGGUCCAGACUGAAGAAGAGGCGCCCUCCUACUGCAGGUUUCAUUUGUAAUCUUUUGCCGCCUGCAAAUGGGGGAUGGUGCUUCUUCUGACAUGAGUCGUCACUCCAUAAGCCAAAAAAGAAACUUAGUGCUCUCCCCUUCUCAUAGGACCUCCUGGUUUCCUGCUAUCUUAGGUACUCAAUGCAGGUUUCUCUGCUCCAACUCCAAUUCAAGCUCAGUCGUGGCCAAUUGCGAUGCAAGGUAGGGACAUAGUUGCCAUUGCUAAAACUGGCUCGGGAAAAACUUUGGGUUACUUACUUCCUGGAUUUAUGCAUCUUCAACGCGUCCGGAAUGAUUCGCGAAUGGGCCCAACAAUCCUGGUACUGUCUCCAACCAGGGAGCUUGCCACACAAAUCCAAGACGAAGCUGUUAAAUUUGGGAGGUCGUCAAGAAUUUCGUGCACAGUAAGUAGAUAUCUCUGGUUUUUGUAAAGUGUCAACAUGCUACUACUUGUCUAGUAUCCUUCUAAUGUAUCCAUUUUCUUUGUUAUCUUUGUUUCAGUGCUUGUAUGGUGGUGCACCGAAGGGUCCCCAGCUAAGGGAUUUGGAAAGAGGAGCUGAUAUAGUGGUUGCAACUCCGGGACGGUUGAAUGACAUCCUUGAGAUGAGGAGAAUUAGUCUGCGUCAAGUAUCUUAUCUUGUGCUGGAUGAGGCAGAUAGAAUGUUGGACAUGGGUUUCGAACCGCAAAUAAGGAAGAUUGUGAAAGAGAUUCCUACUAAGCGCCAAACUCUUAUGUACACAGCUACAUGGCCAAAGGGAGUCAGGAAGAUUGCAGCGGACUUGCUUGUUAACCCUGCUCAGGUCAACAUUGGUAACGUCGACGAGCUUGUGGCUAACAAGUCGAUCACACAGGUAAUGGCUCUGACUUGAUUCCAUUGCCACCAUGGUCUUGUUUCUGCUAACCAUUUCAGCAAAACAAAUCAAUCUGAUUGUUCUGCUUUUUUAUUCUGGACACAGCACAUUGAAGUGGUAGCACCAAUGGAGAAACAGAGGAGGUUAGAGCAGAUAUUGAGGUCUCAGGAACCAGGCUCGAAGGUGAUAAUAUUCUGCUCAACCAAAAGGAUGUGCGACCAGCUAACUCGCAAUCUGACCCGCCAAUUUGGAGCUGCUGCCAUACAUGGAGACAAGUCACAGCCUGAGAGAGACAAUGUUCUGAAUCAGUUCCGUAGUGGCAGGACUCCGGUUCUUGUUGCAACUGAUGUUGCUGCUCGUGGGCUGGACGUUAAGGACAUCAGGUAUAUUAUAGAACUAUAUUCAAAGUCGAAUCCUUAUAAUGACAUUAAAUACAUCAAGUUAAAGCACAAUAUUUUGUUGGAUCUCACAGGGCGGUUAUAAACUAUGAUUUCCCCAAUGGAGUGGAAGACUAUGUGCAUAGAAUCGGAAGAACAGGAAGAGCUGGAGCGACUGGUCAGGCAUUCACAUUCUUUGGCGAUCAAGACUCGAAACAUGCUUCGGAUCUAAUCAAGAUCUUGGAAGGAGCAAACCAGCGAGUUCCUCCUCAGAUCCGCGAUAUGGCUGCACGUGGUGGCGGUGGAAUGAACAAAUUCAGCCGUUGGGGUCCACCUUCCGGAGGUCGAGGUGGCGGCUCUGGUUAUGGUGGCAGAGGUGGCGGCUCUGGUUAUGGUGGCAGAGGUAGCGACUCUGGUUAUGGUGGCAGAGGUGGCUUUGAUUCACGUGACAGGUAAAUUAUAAAACAUAUGAACUUCUAUUUCGUCUGUUAAUGGAAGAAAAUAUGAUUGUGAAUAUGUGUUUUAAUAAUUAGUGGAAUGGGAAGUAGAAGCAGCAAUGGAUGGGGAAGAGAGCGUGAAAGGAGUCGUAGCCCGGAGAGAUUCAACAGAGUUCCACCACCGUCUUCUACUGGAUCUCCUCCUCGCAGCUUCCAUGAAGCCAUGAUGAAACACCGAUAAGGGAAGAGGAUACAAGAACAAGCUCCUUCUCCCCGAUUGAAGAAGAAAGGAAAAAAUGUGUUUUGAGUAUUUCUACAUUUGACAUUCUUAUAUAUAUAUUUUUGGCCGGUGAAGAACGUACGUGAAAAGCAAGACACUCUAAGCCCCAUUAAAAAACUAAAAAUGCUUGCUUUCUUUAUGUAGCUUUUUUGUACUUCUUUAUAAUCUCAAAGAUUGUUGUUUUGACAGGCAAAACUUUAUAACUUACACAUGAUAAUCACUUCAUAUUUCCUUAUUAUGUUUGUUAAAAUCAAUAUGAGAGCUUUCCAUGUAAAAGAGAGCACAUCAGGCUAGAUUUUUUUUUUUUUUUUUUUUUUGAGCAAAACACAUCAGGCUAGAUAAAACCUCCGAACUCAGCGAAAAUCCAUGAAUUUAUUAGCCGAAACAACCAUAGUACCUGAGGCUUGGACCUUAGCCCAUUACAAAAUCUACAAAAAAAUAUUACUGUUUUUUUGUUGUUGAGUAUUUGCUUCUUUUACCGAUGUUAUUUUGAAUAUCGAUGAUCAUGUCAUUUCACAUAACGUUAGGAUUUAUGCCCUAUGCAUCUGAAAACAGUGGUCCGUAGUAUUGUAUUUAAGUAAAAAGGAAAUUUAAUGAUGAACUUCUUAUGUGUAUUCAUUUUCAAAAGUGAUAUUUUAUAAUUCUAAUAUUGAUUUUCCCAAUCAAAAGAAGAAAACUUUGGAAAGGAAGUUUGGUGAGUCCAAUGGCUUAGAGGAAAAUACAUGUCUUGUGUACUUUGAUGAUAAUAUAAUUGGUGACAGCCUAUUAAUCUCUAAAUGAAACUCUAGUUUUUGUGGUUACAAAUUAGUUUUCCUUUUAUAACUAAACGAAUCAUGAACUCCUAAAAUCUUAAUUCAAAGCUCACUACAUGCUCACACAUGGCUUAUUUUCCCCUAUCAAUAUUUUUCAUUAAUUGUUACGUGAUAAACCUUUUUUUUUAUCUUAAAUACAUUUAUCAUUAACCAAAAAAACACCUACUAGUAUCAUAAAAAUCAUUAAAUUAAAUAUGAUAGCUUCCGAAUUACAUUUAAAUGAAUACUACUAAGUUUUUAAAUAAAUUUCAGUACAAUUUUAUUGUGGUUAAUAUUUGUCUGGGAAAAUAAACGAAAGUUGUUUGGCUAUAUUACUGGUCGAUCUUGAAAAACAAUUUGAUGAUCGAAUUUUAUUUUCUCUUAGUCUCUUACAAUAAUUUAAUUGAAUUGUGAGCUGACACAUCAUUAAACCUUUCAGCCACAAAACUUCACUUACUAAAUUUGGCAUAUGAAUUACAGCAAACCCAUCACAAUUAAUUGGCCAAAAGCAAAGGCUAUUACAACUUCCAAUCUAUUUUCUUUCUUUCUUUCCAUCUUUUUUUAAAAAAAAAAUAUCUUAUUAUAAAAUGUAAAAUCUAAUUCAUAUACAUGAAAAUAAAAAAAGUGUGGAUCAAAUAAAAUACAUUUAAGAAAGGGUCAUCUACGUAUGGUUGAAAAAUGUGUUGAACGAGUUCAAUUUAAGAAAAGACCUUCACUGGCUUUGAAAUUAAAUAUUGACUAGUAUAAAUAUAUAUAGGGAGGGUUGGGAAUAGUCGUUAUUCAACAUAUAUUAAGAUAUGUGUCAUGUUUCUGUCAAGCUUUGCUUUGAUUUAAUAUUGUACUUUCUUCCUUCUCGCUUUCUACGAUUUAUGUGGACGUGAACUAAUCACGCCGAGAUUUCAUUACUUUUUAAUUUAAUAAUUAAGUAAUAUAAUCUUAGGCAAGUUAUUAUUUUAAGCUUUGUAAUCAAAUAUUACAUAUUUUCAUUAAUUUUUAUUGUAUACAUAUGUUUUCACAUAUAUUUAUUCUACUACCAUGGUCACAAGCCACUACAACCCUAUAAAAGAAAACAGUUGUUGAUCAAUCUUGACAGAAAUAAAAACACACAUGCAUAUAUACAAACAGAAGAAAAAUAAAAAGAACUGAUCAGAAGAAAGAAAAAAUGACGAAGACAGGGAGAUCAGGGAAAGACAGAAUAACAUCUCAAAAAGAAGAAGAAGAAGGAACAGUAAGGAAAGGGCCAUGGACUAUGGAAGAAGAUUUGAUCCUCUUUAAUUACAUAUUUAAUCAUGGUGAAGGUCUUUGGAACUCUGUCGCCAAAGCCUCUGGUAAACCAAAAACAUAUACAUACUUUAUUUUCCUUACAAUAUGAAAUUUAUGUUUUGUUUUUAAAAAGUUUGUAAAAUGAUUAGAAGUAGGUUGAUAUAAUUGCGAAAAAUGAAAUACACACCCACGUGUUGUUUAAUUGGUUAUGUUCUGAUGAUAAAUUAUAUAUCAUGUAUGUGUAUAAUAAUUAAGGUCUAAAACGUACGGGAAAAAGUUGCCGGCUCCGGUGGCUGAACUAUCUCAGGCCAGAUGUGCGGCGAGGGAACAUAACAGCAGAAGAACAGCUUUUGAUCAUUCAACUUCAGGCUAAGCUUGGAAACAGGUAUAGUUAGUUGUAUGUUACAUGACAUGCGUACGUAAGUAAUUAAUUAGUUUGAUUAGAAAACUUACGGGUCUUAAAUGAAUAUAGGUGGUCGAAGAUUGCGAAACAUCUACCGGGGAGAACGGACAACGAGAUAAAGAAUUUCUGGAGGACAAAGAUUCAGAGACACAUGAAAUUGUCGUCGUCGGAAACUAUGAAUACUCGUCACUGCUUGGGAAGUUCACAGAGCUCGGUGAUGACAACAACGGACCAAGGCAGCUCCAGCAAAGCCUUCCAUAUGGCUGAGAGUUUAAAAUCCACAGAGACGGUGACAACAUCAUAUAAUGUGAUGGAACAGUCUAACGACAGUUACUGGAGCGUUGAAGAUCUAUGGCCCGUCCAGUUGUUUAAUGAUGACCACCACCAAUUGCUUUAAUUAUAUUACAAAUAUAAUGGAAUUUAAAUGAAUGAUUAUGAUGAAUUUGCCAAGUUCUUUGGUUUAGACAAAAAAAUCACUACACAUUAUUAGCAAGUUAAGACAAAAAUAGUAGGUCCUUCUAGUUGAUUACGAGACUCAUCAAGAGCUCAAACUAGAACCUGACUGAUCUUAAACCAAACAGAAGAAAAUAUAUAUAGGAAACUGGAAUACUAAUUUAUUUAAAUCAUGAAUUUGGAUGUUUUGUGCACAAAAGCACAUGAUCUGUAUAAGAUCAAAGAAGAGUUCACCAUUUUGGAGAUAAGAAAAUAAAAUCAAUUAGUAUAAUUCUACAAAAGUAAUAUCAGUUACAUCCUUAUUUACUUUUUAUACUGAUGUCGUAGCCAUGCAACUCUCUCUAGUGAACUGAACUGAGCUUCAAAGUCCAAAAUAGGGAUUAGAUAUUUAUCUGCACUAAAAGUCGAUUACACGUGUCACGUUGUAAGCAAAAAGGAAAGGUGGACACUUCCACGAGAAAGCGGGACCCAUGUGAAUCCACGUGGAUCACUUGUUCCUUACCCCCUCUUGUUCAUCUGCCGCCUCGUUUUCUGCUCACAGUGUCGAAGUUCCAUCGUAGCUCCUCCGUCCACAUUCUCUGAUCAAUCGAUCAUGGCGCUUCUUCAACAAAUCUCCGGUUUCGGAGCUCUCGAACGAUCUUCUCCGUCGCUUUUGAUCGGAUCCGGGAACGGGAACGGCCGCGUAUACGGCGGAUAUUCAACACGGCAGGCGAAAACUCGUUCUCAAGGUUGUUGCGAUGUCGUCUUCGUCUACGUUCAAGAUGAAUCUGAAUGAGUAUAUGGUCACGCUCGAGAAGCCCCUCGGGAUUCGAUUCGCGUUGUCAGCAGAUGGCAAGAUCUUCGUCCACGCCAUCAAAAAAGGGGUAACUCAAUUUUGAAUAAUGACUCUCUCCCUCUCUCACUCUCUGCAUUGUUAUGAAGAGUGAAAUUGAGUUUUUGUGUAGAGUAAUGCGGAGAAGGCGAGGAUCAUCAUGGUUGGAGAUACUCUUAAGAAGGCUAGCGACUCUUCUUCGGGUGGUUCUCUUGUCGAAAUCAAUGAUUUUGGUGAUACCGAGUAAGAGCUUUAACGCCCUGUGGCUUCUGAAUGCUUUAUGAAGUUUGUUAGUACUUAUUCGAGUUUUUUUAGGAAGAUGCUGGUAGAGAGAAGUGGAUCCUUCAGCCUUGUUCUUGAAAGACCGUUCUCCCCGUUUCCUAUUCAGUACCUUGUUCACCUGAGCGACCUUGAUUUGCUCUAUAACAGAGGACGCGUCUCCUUUGUUACUUGGAACCAGAAUCUUUUAUCAUCCAAUCUCAGAGCAGCAUCCCAGGGAAGUGGCAACUCUGGCUAUGCUGCUUUUUCCUCCAAAUUCUUCACUCCCCAUGGAUGGAAACUUUUGACCAAAAAUAGCAAUUCCUUUCAAUCAGGAGGGACGCACAAGAACAUUCUUUCUCCACCUAUCAGUCCAAUUGUCUGCGUCUUUUCAGAACAAGACUCUGGUGAUGGGGAGUGGGGUUAUGGUAAUUUCCCUCUAGAGGAAUACAUCAAAGCCCUUGACCGAUCCAAAGGAGAGCUUCGUUAUAACCAUGCUCUUGGAAUGCGUUACAGUAAGGUCUGUAAAAUUUAGUUUUCUAGUUCAUAUUCUUUCCCUUUUUUUUGUUCAUUCUUCUCUUGUUGGCACCAUUUUGCAGAUUACAGAGCAGAUAUAUGUUGGCUCAUGUAUACAAACAGAAGAUGAUGUAGAAAAUUUGUCUGACGCAGUGAGUACUUCUUCAUAAAAGUUGAGAAAUUUGAUUUCUAUGGUAUUGAAAAAUAUUUUGUUUUGAUUGGUGAAGCUUUUUCUGCUUUAGGGAAUUACUGCUAUACUGAACUUCCAAGGUGGAACUGAAGCUCAAAACUGGGGAAUUGAUUCAAAUAAAAUCAACGAUGCAUGCCAGAAAUCUGAAGUCUUAAUGAUCAACUAUCCUAUUAAGUAUGCUAAUUCAUAUUCCAUUGAGGAUUCUCAAUGUGUGUUUUCUUUUCUUAGAGCGCUAGUCAGGUGUGAACAAGAAUGAUAAUUAAUAGUCUUGAUCUUUUGGUUUGGUGCCCAGGGAUGCAGAUUCCUUUGAUCUGAGGAAGAAACUACCACUUUGUGUUGGGCUUUUACUACGAUUACUUAAAAAGAACCAUCGUGUGUUUGUAACUUGUACCACUGGUUUUGACCGGUCGCCAGCUUGUGUGAUUGCUUAUCUACACUGGAUGACAGAUACCUCUCUUCAUGCUGCUUAUAGUUUCGUUACAGGAUUGCACGCUUGCAAACCUGACAGGUGUUCGUUUAUUCUUGAUCAUUCAUUAGCCUACAGACCAAACCUCAUUAACUGAUAUUUAUUUUUAUCACAGACCUGCAAUUGCUUGGGCAACAUGGGAUCUAAUUGCAAUGGUGGACGAUGGCAAACAUGAUGAACCUCCAACACACGCUGUGACCUUUGUGUGGAAUGGACAUGAGGUGACUAUUGCUUCACACGCUUUUAUAAUUUGUUGGUGCAGUAACCUCGUCUUGAUCUGUAAGGUUUAACAACAACUCGAGUGGUCUAUAUGGUUUAAGUUGCACCUCGGUUUGCUCUGUGACAGGGGGAGGAUGUAUUGUUGGUUGGAGAUUUCACUGGAAAUUGGAAAGAACCGAUAAAGGCAACGCACAAGGGCGGUCCACGUUUUGAAACAGAAGUUAGGCUUUCACAGGGAAAGUAAAGUCUAAACUUCUUUGAUUUUAUACCAUUUGUGCUUAUUCUCAAGAAACGUUCCAUAAUCUUCCAGCAUGUUGGUUUCGAGGAAACACGAAGGUGUUCUAGUUUAUAACUUUGGUGAUCGUUGAUGAUGUGGCAGAUACUAUUACAAGUAUAUAAUCAACGGUGAUUGGAGGCAUUCAACAACUUCACCAACGGAAAGGGAUGAUCGAGGAAACACUAACAAUAUAAUAGUGGUUGGAGAUGUUGCUAACGUCAGGCCUACUAUUCAACAGCCAAGAAAGGUUAGUAAUGAACUAGUCGCGUUCUUGAUACUAAGAAGCAAAAACUUGUAUAGAUAAUAACUGGUAGACAUUUAUGUGAAGAAAGCUCUUAAACGAUGUUUUUUUUGGUUGCUUCAGGAUGCAAAUAUCAUAAAAGUGAUAGAGAGAGUGCUGACAGAGAGCGAAAGGUUCAGGUUGGCAAAAGCAGCUCGGUGUAUUGCAUUCUCGGUCUGUCCAAUUAGACUCUGCCCAAAAUAGUUUUAUCUUUUGCUGUUUAUUAAUGGGGCAUAAACCAAAUAUUACUUCAACAAUGAAGGAAAAUACAUAGUAAACACAUUAUAAAAUGAGUUAUUUGAUUAUUCAGAGAAAAAUUAAUUAACAAGAAUGUAGAAAAUUAUCUAUUCUAUUAAAAGAGAAUCACUCUGAAAAAAUCUACUUAUACAAGGUUGUUUGGACUAUUUCGUAAGAGUUAAUAAUUUCAUGGUCCUACUUAAAUUUCUCCUAACAAUAUAUUUUCAUAAAUUUCUCUGAUUUUUUUAGAUAUUAUAAGUGUGUCACUCCUAUAUUUAUGGUAACUACUAUAUUACCUUCUAUAAAUCUCACCUUUUGAUUAUAAAUUUCUCCAUUUAGUUAUUGAUAUUCCAUAUACGAUUUACUAAUCAACAUUUUUUUGAUGCAAUAAUAUAUAAACUCGUGGGUCCAUAGACUAAUCUAUUAUGUAUGUGACCAUAUAUAUAUUAUAUAAUAUUUAUUUUAAUUCUUAAAUUCAUAUCUAUAUAAAACGAAUGGUAUGGUGCAUAUCACCAUUAAAUAAUACAUGUCAUUUGAAUUAAAAUAGUCUGGUAAGUAAUACAUGUAUUUUUUAAAAAUGAGUUAAUGAAGUAUGAUAAAUAAUUAUCACAAAAUCAUGUUUUACUAUAGAACCGAUCAAACUUAGUAGUAUAUUAUAUUAUUUUCAGUUCAUAAAAGACGAUAUUAACAUAUAAGUACUGAACAAAUUUGAAAAAAUGCAUAUGAAGUUAGUUAAAAAUUAUCCUCGAGCCAACUUAUUUAAUUGAGUUUUUACUAUAAUUCAGAUAUAACCACUUAAACUAUAUUAUGAAAAAUUAAAAAAUACAAAUAAUUAAGAAAAUAUUGCUCCAUAUUCUCUCUUUUUUUUUAUAAAAAAAUAAGUUGACUUGAUUUUUACUUAUGAAGCACAAUUACUAAAAUCCAAAAUAAUGAUUAGAAUUUUUUUUUUUGGGCAACAAAUAAUGUUUAGUAUAAAAGAUGCUCAAAUACAAGUCCACUUCUGUAAUUCAGUUUAAAUAACAAAAUAAAUUUACAAAUAUAAUUAGGUCCAGAAUUAAUAUUUAUAUUAUUUAAGUUUCAAGCUUGCAGGUUUCCGCGGGUUAUUCAAUCAUAUAUUAUAUACUAAACACAUUGAGAUUGGUAUAAACUCUUCACUUAGUUUGGAAUACCUAAGUUAAACAAGAUUUUUCUCUUUUGAAAAAGUAUUAACCCCGUGUUUCAAAGCUUGAUUCAAAAGUUUGAAUUGAGUUUUGAAAAAAUAUCAUCCAAUUUAUAUAGGAUUUUAUCGGGUCAACCAAUAUUGGAUAGCGGGUUAAUGAUAGUUUUUACGUUUUUACCGAUUUUUAUCAAAUUUUUAUAUAUAAGGUUUUAACAAAAUUCAGACCAGAUUUAUAUGAAUCAUCUGAUUUACUUCUGAGACUGUAGAUUUGGUUCGGGUAUGAAAACACUACUAAAACUAUUUUUUGUUCUACACAAUAUAUACUACUAGAUUAGUCCAAAAUCUGCCAAGUAAAUUUUUUGUCUCAUCAACUCAACAAAUAUAACUCUUACAAAAUACACACAAAAUGCAACGAUGACGUUGUAACAUAAGAAUACACAUAUAAAAUCUAAAAUAAACUAUUUGAUCAAUUAUAUAAUUUUAAACUAAAAUUCUUUUACUUUUUCGAUAUAAUAACACUUUAUAACUUAAUAAUAUACUUCAAAACAUCAAAAUCAAAAUAAUAAUUCCUAUCAAACAAUAUUCUUAAUCGGAAAAAAAAUCCGCGAUUUUGAAGCGCGGAUCAAAAUCUAGUUCUCCAAUUAUAAUCAUACUGCGUGCGUGUGUUAUCGACUGAAACAAAAUAAAUAUAAAACAUUUAGAACGGGCCAUGAACUGAAGUUGCAUUGGACCCAGAAAAAAGCGCAAAGGAGAAGGAUGCGGCCCGUUUAGAUUAGGGUGGAUGAUUUGUUUAUAAAUAUAAACCUAAGGGGACGUGCUCAUCAUCCUCCUCUGCUACACUUGUUUACUCCUGAGCGGCACUCGGAAUCAGUCAGGUACGCAGAGAAAACUUCCCAGCCGUAGUGAAUCCUUAUUUGAUUCGCCUCCUUGCUCUUUGUGGAUUUUAUUCUAUCGAAAACUAAGAUCGAACCCCGUUGGAUUCUACGUGUUUCGCUUUGCUUAGUAUCUAUAUUUUGACAGUUACCAUGCAUUAGUAGAACAUGAUGAUGUUAGAUCAGCACUUGUUUGCUUCUUUUGGCACCCACUGAUGAUUGUUAGUAUCUGUUGGCUCAUCUUAUUCAAUUACUAUCUGCAGGAAACUCUUUGCUUUGCUUGCUAUGGCUCGUCGUGAGGAUCGUUCUCAUCCCAAGCCUCAGGACUCAUGUACCAUCGAGUUUGACGGUGCUUCCAGAGGAAACCCUGGAAGAGCUGGUGCAGGAGCCGUUCUCCGUGCUCCAGAUAACACUGUGCUCUUCCGUUCUCGCGAGGGUUUAGGCUCUGCUACAAACAACGUUGCUGAGUAUCGAGCUCUCAAUCUUGGCCUCGAGACGGCUCUUAACAACGGCUUUCGAAAUGUGCGCGUCCAGGGUGAUUCACAGCUUGUUUGUAAACAGGUCCAGUUCGACUCUUUUCUUCUUAUGUGUGUUCCAUUACUCGUUUGUGUUGUUAGUAUCCGACUAAUUGGCAGCAGGUUCAAGGUGAAUGGGCAACCCGACACCCGAAAAUGGCUGAGCUUUGUGGACAAGCACAUGAGCUUAUGAGUCAGUUUGACUCAUGUGAUAUUCAACACGUUCCCAGGGCAAAGCCACUAACCCCCUCUUCUUUAAUUAGCCUGCUGACUCUGAUCCAUUCAGUAGUUAACUUCGUUGUUAAUACAUUCAAAGUCAAGAUGGCUGUUAAUUGUUAGCUGUCUUGUUUAUAGGAAUUCAAUUCAGAGGCUGAUGCUCAAGCUAGCCGUGCGACCAAUCUGGCAGGUGAGUUAAUUAGUCUGUGAUUUGUUUAAAAGGAUAUGGAUUCCAGUUUCUUUUUCUUAUAAUAGUAACCGAGGUCUUGCGUCUUCUUUUCAUGUGAAUUCGAUGCGUAUCUAGAGGGUGAAUAUCAAGAAGAUAUUGCAGGCCGCGGCUAUGGAAGAAGGGGAUACUAAUAUCCAAGUGGAGUAAUAUGCUUAUUCCUGUUUUCUUGUUUUUGGGAAUCAUGUCUUUUAGCAUGUUAUGUGUUAACAUGAUGAUGAACAUGCUCUUCUCUCGCUCUCUCUCUUUUGCUCUGUCUCACGGCAUGUUGACUUUCCCAAUAAAAUGAUAAUUUGUGGGAUUAUGAGAGCUUCUAAGUGUUUUAACCGUGAUGAAGCACACGGUUAAGAGAAUGAGAGGAUUUGUGAGAUUGAGAGAAUGAAAGAAAUGUUUGUAUUGAAUUGUGUGUUUAAUUGUGUAACAUACAUGGUGUAUUUAAAGGAAACAAAAGCAAUAAGCACUCAAUGGUGGAAGAAUAAAUAACAGUAGUGGACUAGCCACUCCUCCCCAUUUGGUAAGUGAUAUGGCCACUCCUCCCACUUCCUCCACUAACUAGUAGUGGACUAGCCAUUCCUCCCCAUUUGGUAAGUGAUAUGGCCACUUCUCCCACUUCCUCCACUACUUCCCUUUGUUUAAUUCUUCAUGUCAACACUCCCCCUCAAGCUUGACAGUAGUGAGUGUCAAGCUUGGAAAGCCAUGAAGUAUUCCCUCAUUAAAACCUUUUCUUGGAAAAACCACUUGGGAUAAAAACCAAGCAAAGGAAAAAGAGUAGAAUACUCCACGGUGAGGAGAUCAUUGACAUGGAAGGUUUAUGAGUCCAAGUCUUGGAAGAAUGGACUCACAAACUUUGCUACUGGCCGCCUUGGUGAAGAUGUCAGCCAGCUGAUCCGCACUUCUUGUAUAACAUGGGAGAAUCACUUGCUGCUCCACUGCUUGUCUGACCUUGUGGCAGUCUACUUCUAUGUGCUUUGUCCUUUCAUGAAAGACUGAGUUGGAUGCAAUGUGUAUUGCGGCUUGGUUGUCACAGUGCAUGGUCAUGGGAGAGGUGAUCUCAAUUCCCAAGUCGCCUAAAAGCCCCUUUAUCCAGAUAAGCUCACUGGUUAGCUUCCUCAUUGAUCUGUACUCUGCUUCUGCGCUUGAACAAGAUACUACUUUCUGUUUCUUGCUCUUCCAAGUGACAAGAUUCCCUCCAAUGAAUGUACAAUAACCGGUGGUUGACCUUCUGUCUACUCUAUCUCCAGCCCAAUCUGCAUCACAGUAUCCUAUCACCUCAGUGUUCUUGUUGCAAGCCAUCCAUACACCUUGUCCUGGCGCUUCUCUUAAGUAUCUUAGAAUCCUCUCCACCAUGUUCCAGUGAUGAACCUUGGGAGUUUGCAUGUGCUGGCUCACUUGAUUAACUGCGAAACACACAUCUGGCCGAGUGAUGGUUAGAUAGAUCAGCUUCCCAACCAUCCGUCUAUACUGCUUGACAUCUUCAAAUGGAGUGUCUUCAUACUCCCCCUCUCGCAAUACCUUGUAACCUUCUUCAAGUGGUGUCUUGGCAUGUCUUCCUCCAAGAUCUCCUGCCUCCUUUAAUAUGUCCAGGGUAUACUUUCUUUGGGACAUGAAUAAUCCUUCCUUUGAUCUGCACAUCUCAAUGCCAAGGAAGUACUUCAGUUCUCCCAGGUCUUUGAUGUCAAAUGCGGCCUUGAGAAAUGUCUUGGUUAAACUGAUCCCCUCCUUGUCACUACCCGUGAUGAUGAUGUCAUCCACAUAGACUAGAAUUACCGUAAUUCCUUGCUUGCUGGUGAGAGUGAAGAGUGUGUGAUCCGCUUGAGACUUCACAAAUCCCCUUCCAUUCAAUGUAGUGCUUAGCUUGUGGUACCAAGCUCUUGGUGAUUGCUUCAAGCCAUAGAUUGCCUUUCUGAGUCUAAGGAUAUUCCCUGGUUUCACCAUUUUUUCCAUCCCCGGAGGUGGUUUCAUAUACACUUCAUCUUCUAGUUCUCCUUGCAGGAAAGCAUUCUUCACAUCCAUUUGCCAAAGGUCCCAUUCUAGGUUCACUGCUAAUGAGAGUAGAAUCCGGAUUGUAUGAAGCUUGGCCACUGGUGCAAAGGUGUCUAGAUAGUCCUCUCCAUACACUUGUGUGUAUCCUCUUGCCACCAGUCUGGUCUUCUUUCUUUCUGGCUUCCCAUUUGCAAGAUACUUAAUGGUAUGUAUGAGUCUGCUGGUCACGGCUUUCUUCCCUUUUGGAAGUUCUGUCUCAUACCAGGUGUUGUUCUUCUCCAUGGCCCUCAUUUCAUCAUCCACCGAUUUCCUCCAUUCAUCAUCUUCCAUAGCUUCUGCAUAUGUUCUUGGUAUCCAUUCCAGGUCCAAUGAACUCAUAAAGACUUGAUGUUCUUCUGGAUAGUGAGCUAGGGAGCAUAAUCCACUUUCUGGAUGUGCCACAGCUUGAGCAUUGUAGUAAACAAAAUCAUUUUUAACCCAAUCUAAGGCUGGUCUUCUGAUCCUUGUACUUCUCCUUAGGACUUGUGUCUGCUCAGGUUCAUUACUGCUGCUUGGUUCUCCUUCUUGAGCUUCAGUGUCUGGUUGUCCCAUCUCAUCUUGAUCAUGAGAUAAUACUGGGUUUUCUUCAGGUUGAGCUUGCGCCGGUUGAUCUUCAUUCCCCCCUUCAUGGUCAGGAUGAGAGUCUUCAGUGUUAUGAACCAUGGUCUCUUUAUAAGGAGUAGUGUCCCGACCUUUCUCUGGUUCCUUUUCUAGGUUAAUGCCGAGUCUUUCCAUAAGAAUCUUCAGGUUGUUAGCUCUGUCCGAGGCAGAAUGAGAUAGAUCUUUGAGUUCCUCCCAACUCUUCUCAUCAUAAUAGGCCUUGGAUUCCAUGAACUUAACAUCUCUGGAUACUAGGACUCUCCUUGUCUCUGGUACAUAGCAUUUGUACCCCUUUUGGUGCGUAGAGUAUCCAAUGAACAUUGCCUUUGUGCUCUUUGCCUCCAGUUUGUUUCUUAGUUCUCCUGGAAUCAAAACAAAGCACACACACCCAAACACACGCAAAUGAUCAAUUGAUGGUCUAGAUUUGUUUAGUACCUCAUAUGGGGUGGCAUCAAAGAGGACUCUUGUAGGUGUGCGGUUGAUUAGGUAGGUGGCUGUGACUACUGCAUCCCCCCAAAACCGCUUGGGUACAUUUGUAUGGAACAUCAUACUCCUUGCCACUUCCAUCAAGUGUCUAUUCUUUCUUUCAGCCACACCAUUUUGUUGGGGUGUGUAAGGACAGCUGGUUUGUUGAAUGAUUCCAUGUGAGGCUAGAUGUUGUUUGAAGGCUGUGCUAGUAUAUUCACCACCAUUAUCUGAUCUAAGAAUUUUAAUCUUAACAUUGAAAUGGUUAGUAAUAUAGUUCUGAAAAUUUUUAAAUGCUUCUAGCACCCUAUCCUUAGAUUGCAACAAAGUGAUCCAUGUGUAUUUAGAUUUUUCAUCAAUGAAUGUCACAAAAUAUUUAUGUUGUUCUCUAGAUACACAUGGAGCAGUCCACACAUCAGAGUGAAUCAAAUCAAAGCAGUUUUCAUAUUGGGUUUUUGAUUUAGGAAACACAGUUCUGCAAUGUUUUCCUAAUAUACACGCUUCACACUCAUUUUUAAAGGAAAUACUAGGCAACAGGAUGUUCAAGGCACGAGAAUGGGGAUGUCCUAGUCUAGCAUGCCAGAUUUCAUCUUUAGGGAAUUCAGAAACAGAAUGAAACACACACGAUAAUUGAGAUACAGGUCUUGUGUCCUCAAGUAAGUACAAGUCUCCCUUGGUAACACCUUUGCCAAGCAACUUACUAGAAUCAAUAUCCUGAAAGUAUACACUGUUAGGCGUGAAAGUAACUUGACAAUUGAGAUCAUUAGUUACUUUUUUAACAGACAGUAGAUUUGAGGAAAAUGUAGGCAUAUAGAAAGCUUUUGAUUCUUUAUCAAACAAUCUAAGUUCACCUACACCUUUUAUUGGAAUUUUAUCUCCAUUUGCUAUCAUCACAUUUCCUAAAGCCGGUUCUAUGUUCUUAAUCAGUUCUAAAUCACUUAUCAUGUGAUGAGAAGCACCAGAGUCUAUAACUAAGGGCUUAGCCGAUUUAAAAUUAUUCAUAGAACCAUUUGCAUUGUGAGAAGCAUUAAGGGAGAUACCAAGAGUUUUAGAUAUACCAGAUUCCUUGAGAGCCUUGAUGAGAGCGGUUAAGUCAUACUUUUUGAUGGUCUCAUCUAGAUUGGCUCUUGGCGUGGCAUAGCCUGAUGUGGAGGCAGUAGCUAUUCCCACACCUAGGUUGCUUAUACCCAUGGUGAUUGGUGUUGUUGGCUCAGCACCAUCAGUUGAGAAGUUGGCUCUUGCAUCUUGGUAUUGAGGGCGGUUGUCCCUAAAUUUGUUGGGCUUGAGGUGCGGAUGUAGUAUCCAGCAUUUGUCCUUCAUGUGGCCCUUCUUCUUGCAGUGAUCGCAGGUCAAGUUUUUCUUCUCAUCUAGCUUGUAAGCUGCCUUGUUUGACACGGCUCGUUCAGCUUGAUGUGCCAUGUUUAAGUCUCCCUUGCCUCCAAAUAAGCCCACAGAGCCUUCUUCCUUCUGAAUUUGAGCGCAUACUUCAUCCAGGUCAGGUAACUUGUCAGCUCUCAGGAUGUGCUUGAUUAAGCUCCCAUAAGAUGGAUUAAGCGUGAGCAGUAGUCCAAACACUCUGUCCUCUUCACGCCUGGUUAAGAGAGUGGCGGGGUCGGUAGUUAAAGAUUGUUGCUGCUCUGAUACCAUGAUAAUUUGUGGGAUUAUGAGAGCUUCUAAGUGUUUUAACCGUGAUGAAGCACACGAACAAAGUAAAAAAGGAGUGAAGUAACCGUAAGUAUUUGAGAGAGAAGAGAAAUUUGCGAAUUUAAGAGAAUGAGAGGAUUUGUGAGAUUGAGAGAAUGAAAGAAAUGUUUGUAUUGAAUUGUGUGUUUAAUUGUGUAACAUACAUGGUGUAUUUAAAGGAAACAAAAGCAAUAAGCACUCAAUGGUAGAAGAAUAAAUAACUAGUAGUGGACUAGCCACUCUUCCCCAUUUGGUAAGUGAUAUGGCCAUUACUCCCACUUCCUCCACUAACUAGUAGUGGACUAGCCACUCCUCCCCAUUUGGUAAGUGAUAUGACCACUUCUCCUGCUUCCUCCACUACUUCCCUUUGUUUAAUUCUUCAUGUCAACAUAAAACAUGUCUAUGUCGUCUACUGCUACUUUAUUCUAUCCGAUAAGUUUUCCAUAUAAUACUGUUUUCUUAAUCUUCUUUAAAAUAUUAAUCUUUCCUUAUAGAUAGACUGCACAUGUAUGGGUUACUUAGUCAUAUUAUAAUCGAUAUAUUAUUACCAAUAGAUAUAGAUUGCAGUGGGAAGUAGAAACUGUUAAAACCAAACUGAGAUUUAUCAACUGGAAAAAUAAAAGCCAAACGCAAGGAAUAUAGAUUACAGAGGCAAAGCAAAGCUAACUUUCUACAUUUAGUGCACAAACUAUUUACACCUUCUCUGAUUGUUUGUAAUCUGUGUAUCUUUAGCAUUAACAAGUGUAAAAAACACAAAAGGAAAGAAAGAAGGUUCAGUCAUCUCACACGCUUUUAUUAUUUGUUGGUGCAAUUCUUGCAAGAACCUCUUGAUCUGUAAGGUUGACAACAACUCGACUGGGCUCUAUGUUUUAUGUUGCACCCUGGUUUGCUCUGUGACAGGGGGAGGAUGGAGAGCUGGUACUGGACCAAGCCUAUCGAAACAUUUUUCUUGAUCCUCCAAAAAUUUUCUAUGUAUAUAGAUCUCCAAAUUUGUAAAAAAAAAUAUAUUAAGCUUCCAAAUUAUUGAAAUCUUUAUUAAAUCGUCUAAGGUACUCUAAAUUUCAGGGCCAUCCCUGGAUGGAUGUAUUGUUGGUUGGCGAUUUUACUGGAAACUGGAAAGAACCGAUAAAGGCAACGCACAAGGGUGGUCGACGUUUUGAAACAGAAGUUAGGCUUUCACUGGAAAAGUAAAGUCUUAGGGCACGUUCAACGGUGUCUCUUAGAGUCUCUUAGAUAAAUUUUAUUAAUAAAAUAAUUAUAUAAUUAAAAUUUAUUUCAAUAAAAUAAAAUAAAUCAUUCACAAAAAGACACAUGGAGAAAAAAUAAGAAACUAAGCUUUUUUUUUUAUCAACAUAAGAAACUAAGCUAAGAGACAUAUCUUAUUUAUUUCUCAUACUUUUAAUUACUUUUUUAUAUUUUAAUAGUUAGAGACCUAGCUAAGAAACUUGCAUUAAACAUGCUCUAAGACCAUCAUUAACCCAGUCUCUUAAUUGGGGUUCUUAACCUCGGCUAAGAAACGGUUCUUAGCUUUUCUUAGAUUUUAACUAAGAAAAGUUAAGAACUGUCUCUUAAAUAAGAGAUAUAAGAACACCACCUUAAGAACUCCGCGAUAAUCAUGCUCUAAAAGCAUGUUUAAUGGGAAUUGUUAAAGUGGGGUUCUUAGCGGAAUAUAAGAACUUCUCUCUUAACUUUUUACUAAAAAACCUAAGAACCGGUUCUUAGGUUUUUUAGUAAAAAGUUAAGAGAGAAGUUCUUAUAUUCCGCUAAGAACCCCACUUUAACAAUUCCCAUUAAACAUGCUUUUAGAGCAUGAUUAUCGCGGAGUUCUUAAGGUGGUGUUCUUUGCGGAAUAUAAGAACUUCUCUCUUAACUUUUUACUAAAAAACCUAAGAACCGGUUCUUAAAUAUCUUAUUUAAGAACCGGUUCUUAAGUUUUUUAAUUAAAAGUUAAGAGACAGGUUUUUAUAUUCCGUUAAAAACUCCACUUUAAGAACCCCCAUUAAACAUGCUCUAAGAGCCGUCUCUUAGCCGAAAAAUGUAAAAAAACAAAAAAAGUGUCAAAUCAUAAGUUAAGAACCUCGGCUAAGAGACCGAAGUUAAUCAUGCCCUAAGCUUCUUUGAUUUUAUUCCAUUUGUGAUUAUUCUCGAGAAACGUUCCAUAAUCUUCAUGCAUGUUGGUUGAAUUCUGGUUUGGAGGGAUCACGAAGGCGUUCUAGUUUUAUAACAUUGGUGAUCAUUGACAAUGUGGCAGAUACUACUACAAGUCAACGGUGAUUGGAGGCAUUCAACAACUUCACCAACGGAGAGGGAUGGUCGAGGAAAUACUAACAAUAUAAUAGUGGUUGGAGAUGUUGCUAACGUCAUGCCUACUAUUCAACAGGCAAAAAAGGUUAGUAUUUAGUUACACUAUGAAAUAGUCGUGUUCUUGAUACAAAGAAGAAAAACUUGGAUAGAUAGUAAAUAAUUGGUAUUUUAAGUCAUUUAUGUGAAGAAAGCUCUUCAACGAUGUUUUUUUUUUGUUGUUGCAGGAUGCAAAUAUCAUAAAAGUGAUAGAGAGAGUGAUGACAGAGAGCGAAAGGCUCAGGUUGGCAAAAGCAGCUCGGUGUAUUGCAUUCUCAGUCUGUCUGUCCAAUUAGACUCUGCCCAAAAUAGUUUUCUUUUUUAAUAAAAAAAAUCUGUUUAUUUAUGGGCAUAAACCAAAUAUUACUUCAAUAAUGAAGGAAAAAUACAUAGUAAAUAAACACAUUGUAAAAUGAGUUAUGUGAUUAUUCUUAUACAGAGAAUAAUUAAUUAACAAGAAUUAGAAAUUUAUUCUUCAAUUGUAAUCAUACUGCGUGUGUUAUUGACUGAAACAAAAUAAAUAUAAACUAGAUUCUGAGGGUAUAUUUUUUGUUCUCUUAAUUUUUUUUAGAAAUUCUAUUUUUAUAUUUGUGUUUUUUCUUUGUAAUCAUAUUUAUGUUUUUCUUUGUAAUCAUAUUUGUAUAUAAAUCUUAAUCAAAAUCUAUUUAUCAAUUUUAUAAAAUAAUAGCAAUUUAAAAGUUGAUCCGGCAUACACCCGUUUCUUUGUAAUCAUAUGUCCAUAUGCCUGUUUCCUUAUAAUCAUACUCCCUCCGUUUCAAUUUAAAUGUCGUUCUGGAAGAAAAUUUUCGUUUCAAAAUAAGUGUCGUUUUAUGAUUUCAAUGCAACAUUUAUUAAUAAGAUUCUUCUGUUUAUUUUUUCAUUGGUUGAAAUAUGGUUAGGUGUAUGGGUAAUGAUGUUUUUAUUUUGAAAAUGUACAAAAUUAAACGUUUUUUUAAUCCGUGUGCAUAAGUCUAAAACGACAAAUAAAAUAAAAUGGAGGGAGUAUUUGUCUAUUCUAGAUCUUGACCCGCACCUACUUCAAACGCAGGUAUAGUGUUGUUUGUAAUUUUUUAUUUAUUUUUUCCAUGUAAAUAUGUUUGAAUUUGAUUACUAUUCUGUUAUUAACUUUCUAAUCAUAAAUUUAUGAAUACAAAAAUUGAAGCUUUAUUUUGAAAUAUAAAAUAUACUGAAUUUUUUAGUUUGUCAAAAAUAUAUUGCAACACAAACUAUAAAUAAUAUACAUAUAUAUUUACAAUUAUGCUAAAUUAUAUAACAGGUACCAUAAAAACCAUUAUUUUCUAUAACUUACUUUAUAGAAAAUGAAUGGUUUUGUAAUUUACAUUUUGGCUAAAUAGGUCGUGCGGAUCCCAUAAUGAAGGGAGGAGGAGAAGUUACAAUACAUAUAGUUUAUUUUUUAAUUAUUGAAAAAAUAAUUAAUUGGACUAAAUUUCUAUAACUGGUCAUGUUCCUAAUUUAUUAAAACAGAUAGGUGCACAAAUGAUAUGCAAACAGUUAAUAUUCGAGGAAGCAAUAAACUAUGUUAGAUAAAUAAGAAGGAUCAAACCUGUCUGAUCAAAUUGCUAAAUUAUAUGAGUCAAACCGGUGUGAUUGAAUUGUAUAUUACUUAAUAACGAUACAUAUACAUAUCGUUGUAGGCUGAGUUCGUAAUAAAUCGUGAGUGGAUGAUCAUGUAAUCGUAAUUGGUUAAGUGGUACCUCAUUGUUAUAUUAUAUGUUGGGAUAAAAAAAAUUUCCUAGAAAAUAAAAGAUUGGUCCAUCUUCCCAGCCGUCGUGAAUCCUGAUUUGAAUCGCCUCAUUGCUCUUUGUGGGUUUUAUUCUAUCGAAAACUAAGAUCGAAUCCCGUAGGAUUUUAGAUAGUUACCAUGCAUUAGUAGAACAUGAUGAUGUUAGACCACCACUUGUUUGUUGUAUUGCUUCCACGAUGAUUGUUAGCAUCUGUUGGUUGGUUCAUCUUAUUCAAUUACCAUAUCCUUUUAUUUGCAGGAAGCCCUUGCUAUGGAUCAUUCUCUUCCCAAGCCUUGGAAAUGCCUUGUCGAUGAUCGAACUGGCAACUUAUACUUUUGGAAUCCUGAGACCAAUGUUGCUCAAUAUGAGCGACCUAUUUGCCCUCCACCUCGCAACGUUGCUCAAGUAUCUCUAAGCUCCUCAUAUGCUUGUUUUGUUUCUUUUUUUUUGUGCAUAUUUUUUUUAGUAAUAAUAAUAUUCUGAAAUGUAAUCCACUCAGGGCUCAUGUACCAUCGAGUUUGACGGUGCUUCAAGAGGAAACCCAGGAAGAGCAGGUGCAGGAGCCGUUCUCCGUGCUUCAGACAAUACUGUGCUCUUCUAUCUUCGCGAGGGUUUAGGCUUUGCUACAAACAACGUUGCUGAGUAUCGAGCUCUCAUUCUUGGCCUCGAGUGUGCUCUUAGCAAAGGCUUUAGAAAUGUGCGCGUCCAGGGUGAUUCAAUGCUUGUCUGUAUGCAGGUCCAGUUAGUUUGACUCUUUUCUUAUUUGUCUACGUUCAAGCAGUCGUCUGUGUUGUGUUGUUAGUAUCUGACUAAUUGGCAAAGCAGGUUCAAGGUGCAUGGAGAGUCCAAGACCCGAAAAUGGCUCAGCUUUGUGGACAAGCAAAGGAGCUUAUGAGGCAGUUUAGCUCAUUCCACAUUCAACACGUUGGCAGGGUAAAGCCACUCAACCCCCUUUUCUUUAGCCUGCUGAUUCUGAUUUUGAUGCACUCUGUAGUUAACUUCGUUGUUAAUUAAUACAUUCGAAGUGAAGAUGGCAAUUAUUUAAUUGUUUGUAGGAACUCAAUUCCGAGGCUGAUGCUCAAGCUAACCAUGCGAUCAAUCUGGCAGGUGAGUUAUUUAAUUUGUGAGGAUAUAUGGAUUCCAGUUUCUUUUUCUUAUUAUAAUAAAUGAAUCUUAACGAGGUUUUGUGUUUUCUUUUCUUGUGAACUCGAUGCGUAUCUAGAGAAUGAAACGGAAGAGAUUGCAGGCGGCUUUAGAAGAAGGAUAUACUAAUAUCCAAGUGGAGUAAUAUGCAUCUUCCUGUUUUCUUGUUUUUGGGAUCAUGUCUUUUAGCAUGUUAUGUGUUAACAUAAACAUGAAGACGAUGAUGAACAUGCUCUUCUCUCUCUUUUGCUUUGUCCCACGGCAAUUUGACUUCCCAAGAACAUGUCUAUGUCGUCUACCACUUCUUAUUCUAUUCAAUAGUUUUCCAUAUAAUACUAGUGUUUUCUUCAUCGUUCUUUAAAAUAUUCAUUAUAGUCAGUCAAUAGACUGCACAUGUAAGGGUUAUUUAGUUAUAUUAGUAUUGAUAUAUUACUUACCAAGAUGAUAAUAGAUUUCAGUGGGAAGUGAAACUGUUAAAACCAAACUGAGAUUUAUCAACUUGAAAAAUAAAAGCCAAACGCAAGAAGAUAGUUUAUAAGGGCAAAGCAAAGCUAACUUUCUACAAUUUAGUGCACAAACUAUUUACACCCUUGUCUGAUUGUUUGUCAUCUGUGUAUCUUUAAGCAUUAACAAGUGUAAAAUAACAAAAGGGUUGAAUCAUCUCUCACAGUUGGGACGAUCUUCCACCGUUACUAGUUACCCCAGAUCUUGGCUGCCUUAAAAACUCAAUCAAAGCCUCAGCCUUUUGCUUCGCUCGACUAGUCCCCGCCUGAGUAAGCGCCACAAGCGGAGGAAUCGCUCCUUCCCUAGCCACCAUGGUUCGAUACACCACACUCUCCUCACAGAGCUGAAGCAGUAUCGACGCAGCUACCUCCUUCUGUCUCUGCGUUCCCGCCUCCAGGAUCUCCACCAGCACCGGAACCCCUCCUUCCUCCACGAGCGCGGGCUUAGACUCCGGCACCGACAUCAGCAGGCUCAUCACGAAGGCCGAUUUGUCCACCAUGUUGGAUCCGAAGUCAGCCAUCAAUUCCACCAGCGGCUUCAUGAUUCCGGCCUGGACGGCUCUGAGUUUGUUCUCCUUAGCAGAGCAGAGCGAGUAGAGAGCCGUCGACGCGUCCUUCUUGGCCCUGAAUCCUCCGGUUUCCAGAAGGCUCACGAGGAGAGGAAUCGCUCCGGAUCUCCCGAUCGCGACCUUGUUGUCCUCCACCUGCGAUAGCCGGAGCAAAGCGCAGGCGGCGUUCUCCUUGGCAGUCGAGAUGAGCGACCAGGUGACGGAUGAGGUCGUCGGAAUUAUCGGAGGCGCAGGAGAGGAGGAGGCGGCGGCUCUCGGAGGAGGCGGAGGGGAACUCGCCGGAUCUGUCGCUGUUGCAGUCGCUGAAAGCGGAGGAGUGGUCGUUGACACUCAAAUUGCUGAAAUUGCGACCCAAGUAGGUGAAACCGGCGCUGUUAUCCGACUCCAUGGAUGCAGAGAGAGAGAGAGAGAGAGUGAGAGAGAGAAUCUGUGAUUCGUUUUGAAAGCAACAAAAACGUGGAUGGUUACUUUACUUUUAGGGCUAGAGAGAGAGAGAGAGAGAGAGAGAGUGUUUGUCAGGAAUAUUUGUUUUUGGAUGAAUGAGGGAGAGACAGAAAGCGCAACAACAAUAAUACAUUUUUUUAAUUAAAAUUAAUAAAUGUUUGGGCCUUUUCUCUUAUAUGAAAGAUGGCCCAUUAUAAGUGGGCUAUCAUUUGAAUAAAAAACGUGGGCCACACUACUCAUGUUAGUAGUCAAAGACAGUUAAAUUGGAUCAGAUCCCCUCUCCGAUUCAUUGAUUCUCUCUCCUCCUCCUCGAAACAAGCCAAGCCAAGGUAUGCCUUCUCUCUGCAAUGAGAUCGGUUUUUCAGCCUGAAGUAAAAACUUAUCGUCGUAUUGUUGACUACUUCUUAGAUCUAUUUUGCUUUUUUUCUUUUCACGCUUGUUGUCCGAGUUAUGGAUUGGUUCUAGAUGGAUUUAACACAUGAUCUGCUUUGAUUUAACGGAUCAAUCAUGGUUCUCCGACCAAAUCUCAAAACCAACACUUUGAUACAGGAGUCUUCCUUUUGUUAGUUACUUGCUGUAGUAUUUCUCGUUAAGAUCUCCCGCCAAAUAGUGAUCAGUUAGUUGGAUCACCUAUCUAUUAAUUAGCUUGUGUCAAAUAAAAAAAAGGUUCAGAAGUUCUAUUUUUGUGUUGAUCCAAAAACUUCAUUUAAUUGACUGACCUUUUACCCUACAUUACAAGACUUUUUUUUUGUGUAGGAUAAAAGAGAGAUGGAAUCGAGCAGAGGAGGAGGUCAAGGAGGGAUCCAGCAGUUGCUUGCUGCUGAACAGGAAGCUCAACACAUUGUCAAUGCUGCCAGGACCGGUAAUUUCUCUUAUUUUACUACUUUCUUAGUUUCCCCCCCCCCCCAGAUGCUUGCAAUCUGAAUAUAAACAUAAAUACAGAUGAUCUUGUGGCCGAAAAUUAUCCAAACUUGUAUAUUUAUAAAUGAUAAACACUUGUUGAGGAUAAUGCAUAUUGUCCAAUUUGCCUUGCUGUGGAGCUUUGAUUAUAUAUGUUUGGAGUUUGAUUUGUGAUCUUGUGUUGCAGCAAAGAUGGCAAGGCUGAAGCAAGCCAAAGAAGAGGCUGAGAAGGAGAUUGCCGAAUACAAGGCUAAAACUGAGCAAGACUUCCAGAGGAAACUUGAGGAGGUAACAUAAGUUGUCCUCAGAGACAAUCUAGUGUCCUUUUCUUCUUCUUCUUCUUUCUAAUAACCCUAUAUAUUUUCUCCUCAUAGACAAGUGGAGACUCGGGUGCGAAUGUGAAGAGGCUGGAGCAAGAGACUGAUGCCAAAAUCGAACAGCUCAAGAACGAAGCUUCCAGGAUUUCCAAUGAUGUUGUGGAGAUGCUCCUCAAACACGUCACCACUGUCAAGAACUGAGUCUCACACUCUUGUUUAUUUCUCUGCUUUUUGUAAUUUCUCUCUCACUACUACUCUCUUGUUGUUGUAUUCAUAUCUUGUUUGUUGUUGUUGGAUGCGAGGCUUGAGACGUUAUGUAACCAAAUACACGAAACAAUAAAUGCUUUGAGUCUGUUGCAAGAAAUCUUUCUUUAUGAAUAAAUCUCUUUUGAGAAAACAUGUCUUUCUCCUAACGGUUUGCUACUUUAGUUUAGUAAAGUUAGAUCAAUCGUGAAAUCUUUUGGCAAACAGUUAGUUUAAGUCUGUCUGUGUCAAAGUCAUGGGCUUGGUUGUCCAGCCUAAAAGCCAUAGUUAAUGAGCCAUGGAGGUGUUAUAUAUCGGGCGUUAUGGAAAAGCCCAUAUUCCACCACUAUUUGCUAGGGUUUCUCCUCGUCACCGCCGGUGACACCUACUUUAAAUAUGAAUCAUCUCUCUCCUCCAAUUUAGACUUCUCUCUAUCUCUCUUCAGUUUUUUUGGUCCAUCUUCAUUAUUUUUCCUAUCUAGAGGUUUGAUUUCUGUGUGAGAAAGUACAAUGAGAAUAGAUCAGAUGAUGAGAUAAUAACUGCAACAAUAUGAUCUUCAUGCGUCUUGGUAUUAAAGUCUCUAAUAAGUCUCUGAUGUUCAGUAUUGGUUUUAUAUAACAUUUCUUUAAGUCUAGUUAAACCUGCUUUUAGACACUUGCAUAUUACAAAUCUAAAAGUGUAUAAGUAUAACUAAUUAGGACAUCUCUAAUGGUACACAAAAAUUCGCUCUAUAUUUCACUCUAAAACAGUGUAACUCUAUUAGACUAUACACAAUAAGGUUGUUGAAACAUGUAUUCAACUGUUAAUAUGGUGCAGUGGGUUUGUUGAAUUUUGAGAGAAACCAACGUGGUCCACAGUUGAAUUUUUUUUUCUAGUGGGUCUGCUUUGACACGUGGCGUAUUCUAAAUGGUGGAAAUGUUAGACGCUUGCUGAGACACACAUACAAAUAUUUGUAUUUAAUAAAAAACAAAUAAUAAUUCUAGAUAAUAUGCAAGUGUCGGACUUUUAGUGGCGUUUUCUGAUUUUUUUAUAUCCACCCAAUAAUUAGAACUUAUUUAUUUUAUAAUAAAACAUUUUCUAAAAAAUAAAAUUAAAUAAUUUUUUUUUUAUUUUUUAUAAUCUAUAAAUAGAGACUAAUUUCGUUUCAUUUGGAUAAAGAAAAAAAGUCAUUUUUCAUCAAUAAUCAUUUAUUUUGGUGUUUUAAACUUUUUUUGUUAAAUAGAUGAUAAUAAUAAUGUUUUUUAACACUUAGAAUUUUUCUAAUUUUUCUUUUAGUUUCCCAAAUCCCAAAAAUUAUCGAUUACAAUCAAAAUAUAUUAAUAAUUAGUUAUUAUAUUGUAAAAGAUAAAAAAAUAUGAAUUGAAAAUGGUGGGAUAGAGUGUUGAAUUUUAUUAAACAAAACUAUUGUAGAAGAUAAAAAAAAAGUAGAUGUUGAAUAAUUAGGUGGAAGAAAGAGAAGAUGAUGUGGAGUGUUAUUAGGGUGUUGAAUGUAGUAAACCAUUGUAUAUAGUCUUAUAAAGUUGAAUUUGCUUCAAUGAUUCACUCUAUAAUAGAGUUACUAUAUAAUAUAGUGAAAUAUAGAGUAAUGUUGCUUUUUCAUUCUAUAUUAUAGAGUAACUCUAUUAUAGAGUGAACCAUUGGAGCAAAUUCAACUCUAUAAUAGAGUUACUUUAUUUUAGAGUGAAAUAUAUAGUAAAUUUUGUGUACUAUUGGAGAUGGUUUUAAAGACCAAAACAAAAUCA
rnacentral:lncRNA from 1 species